UUUUGAAAGUCACUCGACAGGAAGUAAUGUCGAGGCCGUUUUCGUAGUGUUCUUGUCAGUCUGCCUGUUGAUGAGAAUUGAUCAACAUUGUUCAUUCUGCUCACUUUGUUGAAAGGCAUUGUGCUGUUUAAGCCUUAGAAAGGACCAUCUGCUAUUGCCUCGUGAGGAUGCAGUCAGUGCCGAAGAAGACGUGCAACAUCGUUGAGUUGUCGGUGACACAACGUGAUACCCUCAUGCCCGUUGAAAGCAAAGGAAAAGACGAACCCUCUUCAACUUUAUCAUGCCAACUGGAGGAGACAGAAUCCAACCGAAUGAUUGAAGAGAAGCUAGCUACAAUUGAAGCGAAGCUAGCUACACUGAAAACCCAAACAGAAUCCAACGUAAUGAUUGAAGAGAAGAUUGCUUCAAUUGAAGAAAAGCUAGCUAAAAUGGAAAUACGUUUAGAGGUGUCAAAUGACUGCCUGGAAGUGGUGAGCAGCAGCAUCCAGUCGGCGUGGUCACAUGUUGUUCAUGUGCAAAAUGAAGGAGCCUAUUAAGCUUCUUCCUGUUUUAAAAUAAUAAAAAGAAACUCCUCUUUCA